AGAGUUUGAUCCUGGCUCAGAACGAACGCUGGCGGCGUGCCUAACACAUGCAAGUCGAGCGAGAAAAGGGGGGCAACUCCCUGAGUAAAGCGGCGCACGGGUGAGUAACACGUAGGUAACCUACCCUCAAGCCUGGGAUAACCCGCCGAAAGGUGGGCUAAUACCGGAUAUGACCACGAGAGUCACGGCUCUCGCGGUGAAAGAAGGCCUCUGCUUGCAAGCUUUCACUCGAGGAUGGGCCUGCGCGCCAUUAGCUAGUUGGCGGGGUAAUGGCCCACCAAGGCUUUGAUGGCUAGCUGGUCUGAGAGGAUGGCCAGCCACACUGGGACUGGAACACGGCCCAGACUCCUACGGGAGGCAGCAGUGGGGGAUAUUGCGCAAUGGGCGAAAGCCUGACGCAGCGACGCCGCGUGGGUGAUGAAGGCCUUCGGGUCGUAAAGCCCUGUCGAGAGGGACGAAGGCGUUCCGACCUAAUACGUCGGGGCCUUGACGGUACCUCUAAAGGAAGCACCGGCUAACUCCGUGCCAGCAGCCGCGGUAAUACGGAGGGUGCGAGCGUUGUUCGGAAUCACUGGGCGUAAAGCGCGUGUAGGCGGCCUGCUAAGUCUGAUGUGAAAGCCCUGGGCUCAACCCAGGAAGUGCAUUGGAUACUGGGAGACUUGAAUACGGGAGAGGGUAGUGGAAUUCCUAGUGUAGGAGUGAAAUCCGUAGAUAUUAGGAGGAACACCGGUGGCGAAGGCGGCUACCUGGACCGAUAUUGACGCUGAGACGCGAAAGCGUGGGGAGCAAACAGGAUUAGA
rnacentral:rRNA from 1 species